rnacentral:rRNA from 1 species
CCUACGGGAGGCAGCAGUGAGGAAUAUUGGUCAAUGGGCGCGAGCCUGAACCAGCAAAGUCGCGUGAGGGAAGACGGUCCUAUGGAUUGUAAACCUCUUUUGUCGGGGAGCAAAAGACGCCACGCGUGGCGUUCCGAGAGUACCCGAAGAAAAAGCAUCGGCUAACUCCGUGCCAGCAGCCGCGGUAGUACGGAGGAUGCGAGCGUUGUACGGAUUUAUUGGGGUUAAAGGGUGAGCAGGCGGAAGAUCAAGUCAGCGGGAAAAUUGAGAGGCUCAACAUCUUCGAGCCGUUGAAACUGGUUUUGUUGAGUGAGCGAGAAGUAUGCGGAAUGCGUGGUGUAGCGGUGAAAUGCAUAGAUAUCACGCAGAACUCCGAUUGCGAAGGCAGCAUACCGGCGCUCAACUGACGCUCAUGCACGAAAGUGUGGGUAUCGAACAGGAUGAGAUACCCUUGUAGUC